CCUACGGGAGGCAGCAGUGAGGAAUAUUGGUCAAUGGGCGAGAGCCUGAACCAGCCACGUCGCGUGAAGGAUGACGGCCCUACGGGUUGUAACCUUCUUUUGCCAGGGAGCAAUUGAGUCCACGUGUGGGCUUAGCGAGAGUACCUGAAGAAAAAGCAUCGGCUAACUUCGUGCCAGCAGCCGCGGUAAUUCGGGGGAUGCGGGCGUUAUCCGGAUUUCUUGGGGUAAAGGGGUUCGUAGGGGGAAUAUAAAGUCAGCGGGAAACAUUCGGGGCUCAACCCGGUCGUGCCGUUGAAACUGAUGUUCUUGAGUGGGCGAGAGGUAUGCGGAAUGCGUGGGGUAGCGGUGAAAUGCAUAGAUAUCACGCAGAACACCGAUUGCGAAGGCAGCAUACCGGCGCCCAACUGACGCUGAAGCACGAAAGCGUGGGUAGCGAACAGGAUUAGAUACCCCUGUAGUC
rnacentral:rRNA from 1 species